rnacentral:rRNA from 1 species
GACGAACGCUGGCGGCGCGCCUAACACAUGCAAGUCGAACGAGCGAGAGAGAGCUUGCUUUCUCGAGCGAGUGGCGAACGGGUGAGUAACGCGUGAGGAACCUGCCUCAAAGAGGGGGACAACAGUUGGAAACGACUGCUAAUACCGCAUAAGCCCACGGCUCGGCAUCGAGCCGGGGGAAAAGGAGCAAUCCGCUUUGAGAUGGCCUCGCGUCCGAUUAGCUAGUUGGUGAGGUAACGGCCCACCAAGGCGACGAUCGGUAGCCGGACUGAGAGGUUGAACGGCCACAUUGGGACCGAGACACGGCCCAGACUCCUACGGGAGGCAGCAGUGGGGAAUAUUGCACAAUGGGGGAAACCCUGAUGCAGCGACGCCGCGUGGAGGAAGAAGGUCUUCGGAUUGUAAACUCCUGUUGUUGGGGAAGAUAAUGACGGUACCCAACAAGGAAGUGGCGGCUAACUACGUG